AUAUAAUAUUUAUAUAACGAUAAGCUUAUAUUGUUUUUGUAACUACGUAUUGCGGUGGUUUGAUGUUGGCGCAACAAUAAAUUGAUGUUAAAACUUUGUUCAGCUGGAAUAAUGUGGGUUACAGAUGCCCAGAUGUUGACAACCGUGGAUUCGCAUAAUCAUCGAAUUAUAUUGUAGCUGAAACAGCUUUGACGAACAUAGAGAGAGAGAGAGAGAGAGAGAGAGAGAGGCGAAGGAAAUAAAGAAAAGCAUGGAAAGAGGCCAAUUGCUUUGGGGCCAUGUGCAUCAACCGUGCAGCUGGAAUAGAUUUUGCAAAACGCAUCUGGUAUACGUUAGAAAAAUAAAUUACCGUUCCUAUGAAUAUAUAAGUCGUACAGUUUGUAAUUAUUUUCUUUUGCUUAUAUUGCUGUAUUAUACGAGUAUUCAACCGAUGAAUUUUCAGUUAAGGUUGUGAAAUGUUGUAAGGUGUGGUUAUCAUUCGCAGCUGGUGACCGACUAAAAAUAGAAUUGUACCAGUUUUACAACCGGCCUCUGAUACACCUUUAACUUUGACGAGAAUACAAUACUAUCUUUGUUGUUCUGAAGUAACGGAGGAAAUUACAAAUCUAAAUGCAUGUACGGCCAUUUGAUUUUCUUAAAGAUACAAAACAAAUUUUUACGAUGUCACAUAACUUGAAAUAUAUUGAAAAUUUUUUUCACUUCUUACGAACGUACUUA